CUUUGCCUAUGAUUAUCAAAAUUCAUAACAGAUAGUAGAUGAUCUCUUUCUUUAAGGUGACAGUAUGUUAAAUGUCAAAAUCACAUGUCUAUGUACAUUAGGUGAUUAAACUGGGUCAGGAGGUCAAAAAUAAAUGUCACACUGACAUAUAAGAUAAACACUGAUUUAGGGUAUAUGAGUUAGAGAACAUAUUAGAUUAUUGUCAUGCUGCCUUAUAGCAUAAUGCCUAUGUUCAACAGAUUACCAAUAUAGUAUUUUUGCACAUAAUUUAUGUCAAAGUUUAAAUUCAAACCAUACUGAAAAAAAGGUAAGUUACAUCCCCAGUCACCACUGUAAUGGAUGUUAUCACAAUAUAACAUAAUUCUAUGAUUAUGAUACUACUUAAACAUUAUGUAUUCUUCUGUUUAUUUUGAUCAGGGCUAUUCACCAGUAUAAAUACAUCAUGGCCAGGCAGUUCCCAUGACAGUCGUAUAUUUAGAAUAUCCAAUGUGUGCAGAUACCUAGAGGCUAGGCACCAAGGUUUAGAAAAGGGUGUUCUGCUAGGGGAUAGUGGAUAUCCAUGUAGGCCAUUUCUGCUGACACCCUAUCUCAACCCAACCAGUGAGAGAGAAGAGAGGUACAACAGAGCACACACAUCUACAAGAAAUGCUAUAGAGAGGACUUUUGGAGUGUGGAAAAGGAAAUUUCAUGCUUUGCAUUCUGGGGUUCGAAUGAAACCAGCAAAGGUCAGUAGAGUGAUUGUGGCCUGUGCAGUCCUCCAUAACCUGGCCAUACUUUGGAAUGAACCUGAGCCACAGGAGCCUCAAGAUGAUGAUGAGAAGCCUCAGCCAGACCAAUACCAGGGACCUCAGGAUGGCCGUGGAGUCAGAAAUUAUGUGACCAACACCUUUUUUUAACAUGUUCUGGAG